rnacentral:rRNA from 1 species
ACGCUCGACACCUACAGGAGGCAGCAGUGGGGAAUAUUGCACAAUGGGGGAAACCCUGAUGCAGCAACGCCGCGUGAAGGAAGACGGUUUUCGGAUUGUAAACUUCUGUUCUUAGUGAAGAUAGUGACGGUAGCUAAGGAGCAAGCCACGGCUAACUACGUGCCAGCACGCGUAGUAUGNGNGGCGNGNGAGAG